GCCCGCGUAGCUCAGUCGGUAGAGCACCUGCAUGGUAAGCAGGUGGUCAGCAGUUCAAAUCUGCUCGCGGGCUCCA
rnacentral:tRNA from 1 species